rnacentral:misc_RNA from 1 species
CUUGAGAAUAUUUUUUUUUUCAUUUAUGGAUAUCAUUAUGACACUUGUCUUAGAAGAAAGUUAACAUAUAUAUCUAGAAUUGCUUUCUCAUCUUUUAGCUAGUAUGAAACGAAGCAAUGUGGAAGUUCUACCAAUUGCUCACAAAUUGGGAAAAAGAGUACUUAAAAGUCGUGCUAACAAGGUUAGGCCUCACUUGCAACAUGCUAUGAAAUCUUUGGGUAUUUCUUUUGGUGAUUGCAAUAACAUUAUUGCCUCUAUUUGCCAAUCUAGUAUUGUUGAACAAAAAGAGCAGUUUGAAGAUUCUAAACUUGAAGAACCAAUUCUAGAACAAGAAGUUGAUAAAGCCAAUCAAAAAAUGCUUGAGGAAAAUAUGUUGG